rnacentral:lncRNA from 1 species
UUCUUUCUCAAAAAAAAACCAUCAAAACUCUCUCAAUCCCUCUCCUUUUCUCCGGCCAAUUGGGCGCCAUCCGUCCGUCAUGGCCGCCGGCGGACGAUGGCGGUGACCACCGUGUACGGCGGCCGGGGUUAAAAAAGAGGUCAUUUCAACCGUUUUGACCUCCCUAAGCCCAUUUUGAAGCCGAAACUUCCAAUAACCAAACGAGGACACACAGACAAAUGAAGGACUUCUCGACUUCGGGCCACCAUUCAUCGGAGGUGGCUACCUCGGACAUCCUGACGGUGGAGCGCAACCCUCAGGUACGCUCCUUUUUGCCUUUUUCUUUUUAUUUUAUGCCUUUUUAUUAAAAUAGAUUUGUAAAAAAAAUAAAUAAAUAAAAAGAAAAAAGAAAACGAAGAGAAACUAAGAAAAGAUCUAAAUCAACACCUUUGUUAAACUUCUGUUCUGCUUUUUUUGAUUUACUAGUGUGUGUAAAAAAAGAGAAAAUAUAUAAUGAAAUCGUUUUGGCUUUUAUAGCCAAAUUACAAAACUCCUCAUUUCUAUUUUUUUGUCGUCUUGCUAUUGUCUCUACUAUCGUUUGCGUGUUCAUCUUUCUUUGUAGGAGAUUGCAGAGGCUGGUGAUGGCGGCAAAGGAGGGUCAGACGCGUGGAGGGGAGCGGCUGCGGCAACAAGGUCAGAAGACCUAGGUGCGGCGCACCUAGGGUUAGGGGGAUUAGGGUUUUCUGAUAAUUCUUAAGUUUUUGGGCUUAUCGGGCCUUUAGGUUUAUUUUUUAUUGGGCAUUUGGGCUUGUAAUUUUUUGGACUAUGGACUGUUUAAUUUUUUUGGGGGUUUUAUUUAUUUAGUUUUGGGCCCGGGCAAAAAUGGGCUUGUACAUUAAUAAUAUAUAAAUCUUAAAUAAAUAUUUAAAUCACAUAUUCUUCCACCCUCCAUUGUUAUAAUAAUGUUUUGC